GCCCGGGUGGUGUAACGGCAGCCACGAGGCUCUUAAACAGCCUUGACCGAGAGGUCGUGUGGGUUCGACUCCCACCCCGGGCA
rnacentral:tRNA from 1 species